rnacentral:rRNA from 1 species
GAUGAACGCUGGCGGCGUGCCUAAUACAUGCAAGUCGAGCGAAGCGGGGACGGGUGAGUAACACGUGGAUAACCUCCUAUAAGACUGGGAUAACUUCGGGAAACCGGAGCUAAACCGGAUGCUUAUAGAUGGAUCCGCGCUGCAUUAGCUAGUUGGUAAGGUAACGGCUUACCAAGGCAACGAUGCAUAGCCGAACUGAGUGGCAGAUGUGCCACACUGGAACUUAGAAACGGUCCAAACUCCUACGGGAGGCAGCAGUAGGGAAUCUUCCGCAAUGUGCAAAAGCCUGCCGGAGCAACGCCGCUGGAGUGAAGAAGGUCUACGGAUCGUAAACCUAUGUUAAUAGGAGAGCGGUACCUAAUAAGAGAGCCACGGCUAACUACGUGCCAGCAGCCGCAAUAAUAC